CAUUGCGUGUUUGUGUUGCGUCUUUAAGGGCUAGCGGUGACUCACUCGAGGAACUACGAACUAACUGGGGCUUCUGUCAGGUGUGACAAAGUCCCAGCUUUUUAUGUGAUGGACGGACUACAUACCUACCUUUGUGGCCCCUGCCUUCAGCUGUUUGAAGAACUGUAGCGCCACCUGCAGGCAAAGAGGAGCCAGGAAAAGAGCCAUGAAAACCACCACACAGCUCUCUCACCUUGGACAGCAGUCGGUGCCACUGCUGCAUUGCUGCUACUCUACUACUGUGAUCAUCAGGAGGCCAUUGUUUUGAAGAAAGAAUAAACAACAUACAAAGUAA